rnacentral:rRNA from 1 species
UACGUAGGCAGCAAGCGUUGUUCGGAGUUACUGGGCGUAAAGAGUGCGUAGGCGGUCCUGUAAGUUUGGUGUGAAAUCUCCCGGCUCAACUGGGAGGGUGCGCCGAAGACUGCAGGGCUUGAGUAUGGGAGAGGUAAGCGGAAUUCCUGGUGUAGCGGUGAAAUGCGUAGAUAUCAGGAGGAACACCUGUGGUGUAGACAGCUUACUGGGACCAUAACUGACGCUGAGGCACGAAAGCGUGGGUAGCAAACAGG